rnacentral:rRNA from 3 species
GACCAAGGAGUCUAACAUGUGCGCGAGUCAGUGGGUCUUGAACAGGCCCAGAGGCGCAAUGAAAGUGAAGGAUGCCCGUGCCGGCAUCUGCGUUGGGAUCCCGGGACCCCGGUCCCGGGCGCACCAACGGCCCGUCCCACCUGCCUCGUCAGCGGGACGGAGCGAGAGCGUACACGUUGGGACCCGAAAGAUGGUGAACUAUGCCUGGGCAGGACGAGGCCAGAGGAAACUCUGGUGGAGGUCCGCAGCGAUUCUGACGUGCAAAUCGAUCGUCAGACCUUGGUAUAGGGGCGAUAGACUAAUCGAACCGUCUAGUAGCUGGUUCCCUCCGAAGUUUCCCUCAGGAUAGCUGGUGCUCGAGUGGAAUCAGUCUCAUCCGAUAAAGCGAAUGAUUAGAGGCCUUGGGGCCGAAACGACCUCAACCUAUUCUCAAACUUUCAAUGGGUGAGAAGUCCGGCUUACAUAAAUGAAGCCCGGACACAGGAUGUGAGUGCCCAGUGGGCCAAUUUU